CACCCGAUGACUGAAAUUUUAAGUGCUGGUCUUUUAAACCUGUAAUAGUAGUCUCUACUUCUGGUGA
rnacentral:tRNA from 1 species